UACGUAGGGCGCAAGCGUUGUCCGGAAUUAUUGGGCGUAAAGAGCUCGUAGGCGGUCUGUUACGUCCGCUGUGAAAACCCAGGGCUUAACCCUGGGCUUGCAGUGGAUACGGGCAGACUAGAGGCAGGUAGGGGAGAAUGGAAUUCCCGGUGUAGCGGUGAAAUGCGCAGAUAUCGGGAGGAACACCGGUGGCGAAGGCGGUUCUCUGGGACGGUACUGACGCUGAGACGCGAAAGCGUGGGGAGCGAACAGG
rnacentral:rRNA from 1 species